CCUACGGGUGGCAGCAGUGGGGGAUAUUGCACAAUGGGGGGAACCCUGAUGCAGCGACGCCGCGUGGGUGAAGGAGCGUUUCGGCGCGUAAAGCCCUAUCGGCAGGGAAGAAGGAGGACGGUACCUGACUAAGAAGCCCCGGCUAACUACGUGCCAGCAGCCGCGGUAAUACGUAGGGGGCAAGCGUUAUCCGGAUUUACUGGGUGUAAAGGGGGCGCAGACGGCAGCGCAAGCCAGGAGUGAAAGCCCGGGGCCCAACCCCGGGACUGCUCUUGGAACUGCGCGGCUGGAGUGCAGGAGGGGCAGGCGGAAUUCCUGGUGUAGCGGUGAAAUGCGUAGAUAUCACGCAGAACUCCGAUUGCGAAGGCAGCUUACUAAGCCAUAACUGACACUGAAGCACGAAAGCGUGGGGAUCAAACAGGAUUAGAUACCCCAGUAGUC
rnacentral:rRNA from 1 species